CAACAUUCAAUCAGUAUCACACACUGAACUUAUUUCUCAAAGAUAGUUUGAAGGAGAAGAUUGACUGACAUAGAGACAAUGGGUGGACUGUGAAAGGAAGCUUCAAUACUGAGUUUCAACUGCAUUCAGUGCUAGCUUUUCCUGCAGGCACCACCAUUUUCCUUCUACUCCCAUUCAGCGUAAAAUUGUUAUACAUACAUGGUUCUGGCAUAAACAAUGUAUAUCCGUCAUCAAAGCCAUGAUCUAUACAGAUAUGUGUAAUCUGCUAAUAAUAUUCUCUGCAAUACAAUAAACUCAAGUAACUGUAGAUUGAUUUCUCAUCCA